AGAUCAGCAGCUUCAGCAUGAGCUCCUACCUAAGACCUGCUGAAUCAGAAACUGGGCACAGAGCCCGGUGAUCUGUUUUAACAAGCCCUCCAGUGAGUCUGAUGCAUGACAGGCUUGAGAACCACUGGGCUCCCUCCUGCUUCUCUGGACCCCAACAAGUCUUGGCGACAAUUAACGGUGCAGCACGACCUGGUCGUGGAAGGAUGUCCCUUCCUGAGCUCUACAAUGUGAACAGUUCUCCCCGGACACCUGGAAGUUUAGGUGGGUCCAUACUGCUCGACAUUAAGUGUGGACUUUAAAACAAAAGGACUCCUGAAUUCUUCGUGAAGAGCCAAAUCCCAGGAAGAGUCCACUACAACUUCAUUAAAAAGCAAAACUUCCUUCACGAAGCUCCAGCAGCUAGUUCCUUGCAGUAUCCUCUCUUGGGGCUCCAGUGGGACUCAGCCUCCUUCCGGCCCAGGCCACCUUACAGCCCUCAGUUGCUUGGACCGGGUCAUCAUCACUGUGCAAAUCUCCUGGCGAUAGAGCCCUUCGGCCACGUGUGGUGGUCAGGACCAACAGCUGGCGUGUCAACACCUGCAUGGCUAUUCGGAGCCCACGAAUGCGGGUAGAGGAGGCACUGAGCUGGGACCAGAAGAGCGGAUGGAAUCACUUGCGAAACACUAAUAAAUCUGCUGGCCCAGCUGUUCCUCAUCUGAUGAUUCUGCAGGGAAAGUGUGAAAUGGUAGAGAUGUCCAUGGGCCUGGGGGAGCCCUUCAGAGGCAAACAGUUCUCCCAAAGCCCCUGAAGCUGGGGUGGGAAGCAUCUGGAAAUAUCUGAGGGGC